rnacentral:rRNA from 1 species
GACGAACGCUGGCGGCGUGCUUAACACAUGCAAGUCGAACGGUAAGGCCCUUCGGGGUACACGAGUGGCGAACGGGUGAGUAACACGUGGGUGAUCUGCCCUGCACUUCGGGAUAAGCCUGGGAAACUGGGUCUAAUACCGGAUAGGACUCCUGGCUUCAUGGUUGGGGGUGGAAAGCUUUUGCGGUGUGGGAUGGGCCCGCGGCCUAUCAGCGUGUUGGUGGGGUAAUGGCCUACCAAGGCGACGACGGGUAGCCGGCCUGAGAGAGUGACCGGUCACAAGGGGACUGAGACACGGGCCAGACUCCGACGGGAGGCAGCAGUGGGGAAUAUUGCACAAUGGGCGCAAGCCUGAUGCAGCGACGCCGCGUGAGGGAUGACGGCCUUCGGGUUGUAAACCUCUUUCAGCUAUGACGAAGCGCAAGGGACGGUAGUAGCAGAAGAAGGACCGGCCAACUACGUGCCAGCCGCCGCAGUAA